ACCAAAAAUCGAAUAUAGAAAUCAAAUCCCCAUCCAAAUACAUGUCUUAUAUUGCAUUAUUAAAUGUCACUCUUUUUCAAAAUCAAACAAAAAAAUAAAAAAGCCAUGAAAAUUAUCGUCUUCCUCAUCAUGACAGCUCUACUCAACGACGCAUUUGCAGACGUUAUUAUCUGCAAAGAGAGCGAGAGAAGCGCUCUCUCAACGUUCCGGAAGGAUCUAGAAGACUCCAGCAGCCGCCUCUCCUCAUGGCGCGGCGCAGACUGCUGCCAAUGGGAAGGCGUCAUCUGCGACAACAUCACCGGCCAAGUCCGCGAGCUCCGCCUCCGCAACCCCCACGACGCUCCCUGCUCUCGCCGGAGCUACGGCGUGGCUGAAUUCCAAGCUUACCACCGUCACAAAUUGGGCGGGAGAUUGAAUCCAUCUCUCCUCAAAUUGGAGUUUUUAAAUCACUUGGAUCUCAGCUGCAACGAUUUCCACGGUGCGCCCCUCCCGGAUUUCAUCUCCUCCAUGAGAAACCUACACUACGUAGAUCUCUCCAGCUGCGGAUUCCACGGCGCUGUCCCUAGCCGAAUUGCGAACCUCUCGCGCCUUCGGCAUCUGAAUCUCGGAGAUCCGUUCCCAAUUUUUGUCGAGAGUAAGGUUAGGGUUAGCAGUAUGCAGUGGCUUCGGCAUCUUUCUUCACUGGAGCACCUCGAUUUGACAGGCGCAGAUGCUAGCAGCGCGAGCGAUUGGCUCCGAUCACUCGGAAAUCUCCAUUCUCUGCUCGCGCUGCGCCUCUCGAGGUGCGGCUUACCGCCUGUGAUCUCCGGCAAUGCUGCGAAUCUCACACGUCUUGCUCAGCUUGAUCUCUCUUGGAACAAUUUCGAUUCCCCGCUCCCUCGCUGGAUUUACAGCCUCACCAAUUUGGUGCGCUUGAAUUUGAGCCACUGUGGAUUCUACAAUCAGCUCCCCACCGGAUUGCAAAACAUGACGAAGCUCGAAUACCUAAAUCUGUCCUCGAAUCAUUUCAGUUCCAAUUUCCCGCCAUGGAUAACCAGAUUAAACAAUCUCAAGGUUUUAGCAGCUGCAGACAACAUGAUUGAAGGGGAACUCCCUGCUACAAUGGAUAAUUUGACAUCUUUGGUGAGUCUAGAUUUGUCUCAGAACAGAAUUGGGGGAAUGCUGCCGAAAUCUCUCAGCAAUCUCUGCAACCUCCAAGAGUUGUAUCUGUACAUAAACAGCUUCUCUGGUGGUUUACCGGAUUUUUCCGGCUGCAUUUCACACAGUUUACGAAUUUUGUAUUUGGGUUGGAACAAUCUUUCAGGUCCAUUGCCGAGUAAUCUCAAACAAGCAGCUAAAUUGAGAGAGCUUGACCUCACAUACAACAAGCUCACUGGGCCUCUCCCUUCGAGUCUCGAAGAAUUGCAGGAGCUUGAAUCUCUCGUUAUAUCGGACAAUUCUUUCAAAGGAAUCGUCUCUGAGUCACACUUCAGAAACCUUUCGGGAUUGAAGAUAUUCCGCGCGAAUGGCAACAGGUUCACCUUCAAGCCGAACAGAGACUGGAUCCCGCCUUUCCAACUUGAAGGCUUGACACUGAGAUCGUGGCGGCUGGGGCCUGAGUUUCCGCCAUGGAUCAAACAUUUGAAGAAUUUGCAGUAUCUGAGUUUGGCGAAUACGGGGAUCGAGGAUGCCAUUCCGUCUUGGUUCUGGACAUUAACCCCGCAGUUGAAGUAUCUAAACCUCUCUAGCAACAUGAUCAAAGGCCAAAUCCUUAGUUUACUAGAUUUCGGAAUGAGCAGAAAUGUGGCUGUUGAUAUGAAGCACAAUCUCAUCACCGGCCCCUUGCCUCGUCUCUCGUCGAAUGUGACCAUUCUCGACUUGUCAUUCAACCGCAUUUCGGGUUCGAUGCAUCAUUUCCUCUGCGGAAAUACAGAGAAGGAUAUGAGGCUGGAGAUCCUUGACCUUGCCAACAAUUUCUUAUCCGGAGAGAUUCCAGACUGCUGGGGAAACUGGUCGUCUCUGAGCGUGCUGAGGCUGCAGGCAAACAAUCUCACAGGCAAAAUCCCAAGUUCGGUCGGGCUCUUGACAAGGCUGCAAUCGUUGCACCUGCGCAGGAACAACGAUCUCUCAGGAGCAUUGCCAAUUUCGCUGCAAAACUGCACUGGUCUCAUGUUGUUGGAUCUGGGCCUCAAUCAUUUCUCGGGGCAUAUACCUAUCUGGAUUCAUCGGCUCUCAGAGUUGGUGGUGUUCAACCUUCGUCUCAACAGGUUCUGGGGUGAGAUCCCGGUGGAGCUCUGCCUUCUAAGCCGCAUCCAGGCGCUGGACCUAGCGGGUAACAAUCUGUCCGGGCGGAUACCCUCAUGCUUCGAUGGUUUCAAUGUGAUGGCGGGGAGGCAGAAGCCGGGCGAACGCAUGUACUAUUCUGCAGACGACACGUUUGGUGUCAUUCCCGACAGCCAGUAUCUCGUUGUGAAGGGGAGGCUCGGGUUUUACAGCAACAUUUUGCAUUGGGUGAUGACGUUGGAUAUCUCGGACAACAGCUUAACCGGACCGAUUCCAGCUGCAAUAACGUCGCUUUCCAAGCUGCAAGGGCUGAACCUAUCAAGAAACUGCUUGACCGGAACGAUCCCAGAACAUAUCGGUGGCAUGAACUUGCUCGAAUCACUUGACAUAUCGAAGAACAAGCUGUCGGGAGAGAUUCCUCAAACGAUUGUAGAGUUGUCGUUUCUGAGUAAUCUGAACUUGUCGUGUAAUAACUUAACCGGGAGGAUCCCAUCGAGCACUCAGCUUCAAGGCUUUGAUGCAUCGAGCUUCACUGGCAACGAGCUCUGUGGAGCUCCGCUGCCAGGCAGCUGUGGCGGGAAUGAGGGGAGUAGAGUUGGUGGCGAGGAUGAAGAGGAGAGGGCGAAGUCGAUAUUUGAAACGGAGGUGUUCGGAUUGGCUACGAGCAUAGUAGUAGGAUUUGCGGUUGGUUUUUGGACAGUGAUAGUAUCUUUGCUGGUGAAUGUGUCAUGGAGAAAUGCCUAUUUCGGGGUGCUGACGAGAAUGGGGAAUUACGUUUAUUAUGUGUGGGUUAAAUUCUUGCUCUGGUGCUGGUGUUUCAGCUCGUGAGUUUGUUUGUAGGAAGAAUCAAGAAAGGUUUUUAUUACUCCAUAAAUUUCAAAGUGCCGUCUUUCUCGAGGAGUGCUAGCAUAAGUGUUUUGAGUGAAAAUAUGAACGAUCAAUUAUAUAUUCCUCAAGUUGCAAAUGAUCGAAAGCCAGAAAUUGGAAUGAAAUUUCAAUCAAUUGACGAUGCGUUUGAAUUCUACAAUCAGUAUGCACGUG